rnacentral:rRNA from 1 species
UUUAUGGAGAGUUUGAUCCUGGCUCAGGAUGAACGCUGGCGGCGUGCUUAACACAUGCAAGUCGAACGGUGAAAGAGGAGCUUGCUCCUCUGGAUCAGUGGCGAACGGGUGAGUAACACGUGAGUAACCUGCCCCAGACUCUGGGAUAAGCACUGGAAACGGUGUCUAAUACCGGAUACGAGCUUCAGCCGCAUGGCUAGGAGCUGGAAAGAAUUUCGGUCUGGGAUGGACUCGCGGCCUAUCAGCUAGUUGGUGAGGUAAUGGCUCACCAAGG